rnacentral:tRNA from 1 species
UGUAGCUCAGUGGAGCUGUGCCUUGCAAGCACAAGGUCCUGAGUUCAAUUCUCAACA